CACUGUCAGUGUGUGGUCAGUGAAUUCCAUCAGUAAUUCUAAGUCAAAACCAGGUGCGGCUCUAAACACAGAACAGGUGCAGAUCUUUCCCUUAUACCUUAUGUCUGUGGAGGCUCCAAUCCUGGUUUUAGCUCAAGCACACAAACAUAUUUUUUCCC